CGAGAAGCAAGAAAAUAUAAUGUUUGAUAAUAAUUUGAUAAUAAUUGUUUAUAAUUGGCAUCUACUUGCGUCAUUAUCGAUACGAUCGUUUAUCGACCUCGUCUGUCGAAUUACUUCGUUAUCAAAUGAAGAUAUAAUCGUGCAUGAAUUUUGCAUUUAAUUUGCUAUAGUAUUACUUACGAG